AUUAUCAAAAUAUAGUUUAUUAUUGAUCAGUGCAUAAAUAUAAUCAAAUUUAUUUUCAAAACAUGAAUUUAAUAAUGCAAAUAUCUCUCAAAUAUUCAUAUACAUAAUCAUAUAUCCGAUUUCAAAAUUAACCAUAUUUAAAAAUUUGAUUCAAAAUAAAUUUUACUUAACUCAUCAGCUUUUAAACUAUAACCACACUUAUAUCCUGUGGUUGGGCUAGAAUACCACACUUAUACUCUAUGAUCAGACUAGAAUAACACACUUAUAUCCUAUGGUGGGGUUGAAAUACCACACUUAUAUCUUAUGGCUGGGUCGGAAUACUACAAUUAUAUCAUGUGGUGAGCCGAAAAGUAUAGAAUCAUGAGCUUAGAGUGAUAAUGCACAACCCCCAAUUGAUAAGGUUCAGAACAUAGCCCGAUUGAAAAUCCAAAAUCGAUUCGUAUCAAUUUUUUUUUUAUAGACUAACACAUAUUUCAUAAUCAAAUCAAAAUAUACACAUAUGAUUUCAAAUCAGUAAACAGUUACAACAAAUUCAUAUAAAUUUUCAAUCAAAAUAUAUUUCUAUGAGAUUGAUAAAUCAUAUAUUAAUCCAUAAUAAUUUAUUUGAUAUUCAAAAU
rnacentral:lncRNA from 1 species